UCCCUGGUGGCUCAGUGGUAAAGAAUCUGCCUGCCAGUGCAGGAGACAGGGGUUCAAUCCCUCCUCUGGGAA
rnacentral:tRNA from 1 species